rnacentral:lncRNA from 1 species
AAUAUUUCAACGAUUUAAUCAACCCAAAAACCCUAGAUCGAUAAUCCUUGACCCUGGUAACCGGGCACUCAUAUAGAUCGAGGGAAACAAGCUUAAGCUGGGCAAGAGGGGCAAGAGCCUCUAUAUAUUGAAUCCGGUUAUUAGACAAGUCAAGGUCCCGGAGCGAGUCAAGACCAGCUUCAACGAGGAAUUCUAGGCCACCGGCUAUUCUAUUGUCUGAAAGGAUUAAUUUCUGGAGAUUUCGAAGACGAGGAAACUGUUCUAGAGAUGAAACACCGAUAUUGGCAAUUGAAAGGUGUUGAAGAUUCUCAAAUUUUUCCAAAAGGCUCGGCGGCGGGAGGCGACCUUGAACACACUUCACCGCACCGUCAAGUGU